rnacentral:rRNA from 1 species
GACGAACGCUGGCGGCGUGCCUAAUACAUGCAAGUUGAGCGCUGAAGGUUGGUACUUGUACCGACUGGAUGAGCAGCGAACGGGUGAGUAACGCGUGGGGAAUCUGCCCUUGAGCGGGGGACAACAUUUGGAAACGAAUGCUAAUACCGCAUAAAAACUUUAAACACAAGUUUUAAGUUUGAAAGAUGCAAUUGCAUCACUCAAAGAUGAUCCCGCGUUGUAUUAGCUAGUUGGUGAGGUAAAGGCUCACCAAGGCGAUGAUACAUAGCCGAACGGAGAGGGUGAUCGGCCACAUUGGGACUGAGACACGGCCCAAACUCCUACUGGAGGCAGCAGUAGGGAAUCUUCGGCAAUGGACGAAAGUCUGACCGAGCAACGCCGCGUGAGUGAAGAAGGUUUUCGGAUCGUAAAACUCUGUUGGUAGAGAAGAACGUUGGUGAGAGUGGAAAGCUCAUCAAGUGACGGUAACUACCCAGAAAGGGACGGCUAACUACGUGCCAGCCGCCGCAGUAA